rnacentral:rRNA from 1 species
AGUAACGCGUGAGUAACCUGCCUUCAANAGGGGGAUAACAUUCUGAAAAGAAUGCUAAUACCGCAUGACAUAUCGGAACCACANGGUUUUGAUAUCAAAGAUUUUAUCGCUUGAAGAUGGACUCGCGUCCGAUUAGUUAGUUGGUGAGGUAACGGCUCACCAGGACCGCGAUCGGUAGCCGGACUGAGAGGUUGAUCGGCCACAUUGGGACUGAGACACGGCCCAGACUCCUACGGGAGGCAGCAUG